rnacentral:sRNA from 1 species
GCGGUCGUUCCCUCGGCUGUGGACCGGGCGGCACGCACGCGGUGCGGGGCAACAUGGCGGAUGCGGAAGUAAUUAUUUUGCCAAAGAAACAUAAGAAGAAAAAGGAGCGAAAGUCAUUGCCAGAAGAAGAUGUAGCCGAAAUACAACACGCUGAAGAAUUUCUUAUCAAACCUGAAUCCAAAGUUGCUAAGUUGGACACGUCUCAGUGGCCCCUUUUGCUAAAGAAUUUUGAUAAGCUGAAUGUAAGGACAACACACUAUACACCUCUUGCAUGUGGUUCAAAUCCUCUGAAGAGAGAGAUUGGGGACUAUAUCAGGACAGGUUUCAUUAAUCUUGACAAGCCCUCUAACCCCUCUUCCCAUGAGGUGGUAGCCUGGAUUCGACGGAUACUUAGGGUGGAGAAGACAGGGCACAGUGGUACUCUGGAUCCCAAGGUGACUGGUUGUUUAAUCGUGUGCAUAGAACGAGCCACUCGCUUGGUGAAGUCACAACAGAGUGCAGGUAUGUGGGAGAGGGAGGGAAGGACUGGCUAGAGUGGAAAGCUUUCUGUAUUUCCCUUCUACGUUUUGUCUGCUGGAAACUAUUUCUUCAUUAAGAAAAAAAAAAUCCUAAAACAAGGAUAUUGUUUUGGUUUCUGUGUACGUUCUGUCCCCUG